rnacentral:lncRNA from 1 species
AUGGUUCAAUCCUUCCUUGGAUGUCUGAGCGAAAUGGAAAAGUCCAGCUGGACCUGUGACUUCUUUACUCUCAGUAGAACUCAUCUCCUUCUGUGUUUCAGGGUGACUGAUCUGUCUGCUGUACAGCCAACAUACUCCAUCAGUGGUGAAGAUGUUGAACCACCAGGAGGAGCGGCACAAAUGCUCCGGGCAGAUCCACCUGGGAGCAGCUCAGGGUCCUCUGGCCUGACUUUGGAUAAACCGUUCACUGGAUGUUUCCUCAGUGUAUUUGAUUUAUUUUAAGAUACCAUACGAUAAAUGAAUCUUCUGUUUCCUCCAUUUGACGGUAUUGUACAGAUGUUUGAAACUCUGAAUAAAUGUGUGUAACUGGAUCAAUGACUCUGUUGCUGUAACUGAAAUAACCAAAAACAUGAGCCCAGUCAGUCCAGUGAGACGGGACUUGGUCCGUUUAACUGCCG